CGCAAGCGCCGCCGCGCGUCGGGAGCCUGGGCUAGACUGUCGGUGCCGCUCACAGGCAGCUUCAGGCGCCGGGGCCGGGCGCGCGAGAGAUGCCGCCGUCCGAGUGCCGCAAGCUGGCGGGCCCGGGCUGCCGGAGCGGGGGGAAUUGAGAAUGGGCCAUCAACAAUGCUAGGUCUACAAUGGGAAGUGUCACGCUUCGCUAUUUCUGCUAUGGGUGCCUUUUCACAUCUGUGACUUGGACACUUCUGCUGUUUGUUUAUUUCAACUUCAGCGAAGAGACCCAAUCUUUCAAGAAUGUGCCCGUCAAGGGGCUGGAACCUCAAAAGCCACUUCCUAAAAAAUUCUAUCCCCGUUUCACUCGGGAUCAAGUUCGCGUACCUGAACCACAACGGAAAGACAGCAGUAUAGGGAAUCCAUUUGGAAAUCAUGCACAGGACCCAGGGAAGGGAGACAUGGAGCUCUCCCCUGAAAUGGGCAUGAUUUUUAAUGAACACGAUCAGGAGGUGAGAGACUUGGGCUAUCAGAAGCAUGCCUUCAAUAUGCUUAUCAGCAACCGUUUGGGAUACCACAGGGAGGUGCCAGAUACAAGGGAUGCAAAGUGCAGAGAAAAGUCCUACCCUUCUGAUUUACCGUUUGCCAGCAUAGUUAUCUGUUUCUAUAACGAAGCAUUUUCUGCUUUGCUUCGGACAGUACAUAGCGUACUGGAUCGCACUCCAGCAUAUCUCCUUCAUGAAAUUAUCUUGGUGGAUGACAACAGUGAAUUGGUUGAUUUGAAAAAAGACCUAGAUGAAUAUAUCAAAAAAAAUCUUCCAAGAAACACAAAGCUGGUAAGAAAUGAAAAGCGAGAGGGGCUGAUUCGAGGAAGAAUGAUUGGAGCAUCUCAUGCUACAGGAAAAGUGCUGGUGUUCCUGGACAGCCACUGUGAAGUGAAUGAGAUGUGGUUACAACCUUUGCUGGCGCCAAUCAGAGAAGACAGCAAGACGGUGGUGUGCCCCGUGAUUGACAUAAUCAGUGCUGACACGCUCAUCUACAGCUCUUCCCCUGUUGUGCGGGGAGGGUUUAACUGGGGUCUGCACUUUAAAUGGGAUCUUGUUCCUUUGUCAGAAUUAGAAGGACCUGAGGGAGCCACUGCGCCAAUCAAGUCACCUACUAUGGCAGGAGGUUUGUUUGCUAUGGAUAGAGAAUACUUCAAUGAACUUGGACAGUAUGAUAGUGGCAUGGACAUCUGGGGAGGAGAAAAUCUGGAAAUAUCAUUUCGGAUCUGGAUGUGUGGAGGUAGACUUCUAAUCAUCCCGUGCUCCAGGGUAGGACACAUAUUCCGUAAAAGGCGCCCCUAUGGCUCACCGGGGGGGAAGGAUACCAUGGCACACAACUCUCUGCGCCUGGCACACGUGUGGAUGGAUGAAUAUAAGGAACAAUAUUUUGCGCUAAGACCUGAACUAAGGACCAGGAAUUAUGGAAACAUUACUGACCGUGUGGAGUUGAGAAAAAAAAUGAACUGCAAGUCAUUUAAAUGGUAUUUAGAUAAUAUCUACCCAGAGAUGCAAAUAUCCGGGCCCAAUGCCAAAGCUCAGCAACCAGUUUUUAUUAACAGAGGGCAAAAACGACCAAAAAUACUGCGGCGUGGAAGGCUUUAUCACCUUCAAACCAACAAAUGUCUGGUUGCCCAGGGUCACCCAAGUCAGAAAGGAGGACUAGUUGUGGUUAGGGAGUGUGACUACAGUGAUCAAAACCAGAUAUGGAUUUAUAAUGAAGACCAUGAGCUGAUUUUAAAUAAUCUCCUCUGCUUGGACGUGUCAGAAACUCGCUCAUCAGAUCCACCUCGUCUCAUGAAAUGCCACGGAUCUGGAGGGUCACAGCAGUGGACGUUUGGGAGUCUCCAACUGAAAUCGGCCUAGAUGUGCAAACACGCAAUGAGAGAGUCCCUAUCCCAAAGAGCUUACAAUCUGAACAGACCAGACAGAUGAAGAGGUGGGGAAAGGAAGCAUUAACCCCAUUUUACAGAUGAGGAACUGAGGCAGAGAGAGCUGUAUGUCUGCCAUGACACAGUUAAUCAGGGCUAUGAAGAGUUAAUGAGAAAGAUGGCAUUGCUUCAGCGGCUUAGUGUGAAGACUGAAUGCACCAGCUUAGAGAAUAAGGCCAUUGAAAAAAAGCACAAAAUGGAAUCCCUCCCCAACAGCUAGCCAAGGGAACGUGGCUAAUUUCCAAACAUGAGAUCACAGCUCUCUGGAGAGCCACCCACCUUGCAGGACCUCCUGUCAACGUAGCAUCAAUGACAUGAUCAUUGUCAAUGCGGAACAUGUACACUCCACGAUUCUGAAAGAGAGUGGGGAGAAAAGGCACUAUAGAUUUUACAAAAAAAAAAUCGGUGAUUAACACAAAGCAGCAACAUGAACCAUCUCCAAGUACUUUUCUGGAUUCACAAUUAGACGUGGCCCAUUGGCUCACUAAGGAAGUAUUGAUUCAUAUAUUGCACUUACUGUGUGAAAGUGGGACACUAUCAUUUACUCCACUACCUAUGAGGAAUGGAUGGGCCAUAAACACGAGAGGCAACCUCCUGUGAUCUGAAUAUCCCCCUCAAAUAAUAUGCUAAUACGAUUUGUAUAGCACCUUUCAUGUAAGGUCUCAAAGUGCUUUACCAAUGAAUGGUCCCUCACAACAUCCCGGCAUUGCACAAAGAGGUGAAGCCUUACUUAAAAAGUGGUCCCUAAAAAUGCAGGCUCUGACCUCUCUGCACUUGUACAACUGUAAGAUCGGUACAUUACCUGACUCACUGGCGUUUGUGAGGUUUAAUAUAUUUGGUAAGCACUCUGAGAUCCUGGAAUGAAAGGCACUGUAAAGGUCUAAGGUAAUAUUAACAUCUCAAGGUCAUGCAGUAAGUCUGUGGCAGAGUGAUGAACAGAAUCAAAAGCAGAGUGGCACAGCAAAAGUGUGCCGAGUCUAUAACUGAGAGGUCAAUGGAUUGAAACGGUCUUCUGCUAGUUCUUAUGGUCUGUGUUAUACAGGAAGUCAGGCUGGAAGAUCACAAUUGUCCCUCUGGCCUUGGAAUCUAUGAAUUCAGGAGACCCAAUUCCCAGUCCCGCUACAAUCACUAGACACAACACUGCCUCCCAGAAUUCAAACAUUCAUUCACAAGAGUACUUUGACUCAGCUUCCUCAGACUGGAAGUCUUAAAAUGCUGGCAACUCAUCUCAUUCUGUUGCAUGAAUACUUAAAGGAAAGGAAAGAAAAGGAACGGAACGGAACAGUAAGUAAAUAAUAAUAAUAAUAUACAAUACCUGAGAUUCAUAAAGCUUCUCCUUCCUGUUUGCCACCUCAUUACGGAUGAUAGUUCCAAUAUAUUCAAUGAUCAUGGUGUGCUUUUCAAUGUCUCUAGCAGCGUAUAAGCCCAGGCCCUACAAAGGGAAUACUGUGUGAUUUAGAACUGGAGAAUCAAUGCACAUUUACAUUUGAUUCCUUUGGUGUGCCCCCAAGCCAUGCUUGGAGAAAAUCUAUAUCUACACAUGCAGAAAUGAUACAUAAUGAAAGAUAAAAAGUGACACGGUUGAAAAAACACAAAAGGUCAGCAAAUGCAAACAGUGACCUUAGCUCCAGCAUAUAUACACAUUCAAUAUGUUUAACAUAUACAAUUGGAAAUAUAAACAGUGAUAUAUUAAGAGACAUAUUUACCCAGAAAACAGGAAAAGCAGAGUAUAUGAGCAACAUGGCUGAAUUAAUAUACACUUUUAAAGUUUAAAACAGAGAACUAUCUGAGCAAUUACAUUCUGUGAUUUCUUCACUUCAUCUCCUGAUUUGUUGUGAUUUUAACUAUACAGCUUUAAUGAUGCAAAAUCAGUUUUCUGCAUUUAAUUUCCUAGUUUUUUUAAAAUAAGAGAAAAUGCUUUGCAAUUAUUUAUCUUGCAGCCAAUUGAGCUAGUAGGCUUCUUACUCUAGAGUUAUUUGACCUAUGCAGAGAUUGUGAAUUCCUUGAACAAUAAAGAGUACUUUCUAGCACCAAAUAAUUCAAAUGUGUGCUAUGGUGUUUUAUCCAUUUAAAUAAUCUUCCACAGUCCAACCUAAAAUAUACAGCAAAUAUAUACAAGGCAUGUUAUACAGAUUUGGCAACACUUUCAGUGGAGCUGAACAUCUGGGAGGUUUGCAGAAGUCAAUAAAUUGACUAUUUAAUUGUAUUAACAUGACAAAGUAUUUUACUCAACAUCCUGGACUCGCAUUAUUUCUGUUCUCCAUUUUUUAAUGAGCUAGCUUGGUCUAAAAUUAGUCACUAGAUAUGCAGAUGAUCCUCCCACUGCUGCUGGUAAAAAAGAUUCUGUAUAUUUUAGUUUCUUCACUAAACUGCAUUUUGUUUUUGAGAAAAAAGUUAAAAGGACCUAACCAGUAAAACAACACAACUCAAUUUUGCAAGCUAGGGCUUCAGUCAAUUAAAAAAAAAAAAAAAGAUUUAAAUUAAACGACCACCUUUGUUACAUACAAUAGAUGGAAACUGAUCACCACACAUAUGCCGUAAAUUCCCUUCAGACUUUACUAGACUCUACAGACUGUAGGGAAUUGUAUUUAGGAAUAAAAAUCUCAAAAAUACAGCUAUAUUGUAACUGACCUGAAUCCGAGAGCGAGCCAGAUACACAUUGGAUUUCCAUUCAGUCUUCAUUUUACGGUACUGGGAGGACUUGGAAUGGACAAACUGUUUACUGUAAGGCGCAUUUAGCUCUCCUGUCACUGUGCUCUGAAAUGACUUUGAGGUGCUGGUGCUAUUCAAGGUGUGAGGCCUGCAGGAAUUGGGCAUAUAACAGAAAAAAAUACAAGGAAAA